rnacentral:rRNA from 1 species
UACGUAGGGGGCAAGCGUUGUCCGGAUUUAUUGGGCGUAAAGAGCGUGUAGGCGGCCGCACAGGUCCGUUGUGAAAACUGGAGGCUUAACCUUCAGACGUCGAUGGAAACCGUGCGGCUAGAGUCCGGAAGAGGAGAGUGGAAUUCCUGGUGUAGCGGUGAAAUGCGCAGAUAUCAGGAAGAACACCCGUGGCGAAGGCGGUUCUCUGGGACGGUACUGACGCUGAGACGCGAAAGCGUGGGGAGCGAACAGG